rnacentral:tRNA from 1 species
GCCUACGUAGUGUAGCGGUCAAUACGCUGGGCGCGUGUUCCAGAGGUCCGUGGUUCGAGUCCCUACGAAGGCG